UACGAAGGGGGCUAGCGUUGCUCGGAAUCACUGGGCGUAAAGCGCACGUAGGCGGAUUGCUAAGUCAGGGGUGAAAUCCUGGAGCUCAACUCCAGAACUGCCUUUGAUACUGGCGAUCUUGAGUCCGGGAGAGGUGAGUGGAACUCCGAGUGUAGAGGUGAAAUUCGUAGAUAUUCGGAAGAACACCAGUGGCGAAGGCGGCUCACUGGCCCGGUACUGACGCUGAGACACGAAAGCGUGGGUAGCAAACAGG
rnacentral:rRNA from 1 species